GGACAAAAUCAAAACCUUUUGUAAUUGCAGUCAGCGUCAGAAAUAACUUUUAAUAGUUACAACUUUCAACAACGGAUCUCUUGGUUCUGGCAUCGAUGAAGAACGCAGCGAAAUGCGAUAAGUAGUGUGAAUUGCAGAAUUCAGUGAAUCAUCGAAUCUUUGAACGCACAUUGCGCCCCUUGGUAUUCCAUGGGGCAUGCCUGUUCGAGCGUCAUUUGUACCCUCAAGCUUUGCUUGGUGUUGGGCGUUUGUCUCGCGUUGCGCGUAGACUCGCCUUAAAGCGAUUGGCAGCCGGCAUAUUGGCCUUGGAGCGCAGCACAUUUUGCGAAUCCAGUCAUUUAUGUUGGCGUCCAUUAAGCCUAUACAUUUUGCUCUGACCUCGGAUCAGGUAGGGAUGCCCAGUUCU
rnacentral:rRNA from 1 species